UUUCACAGAAAAGUAGCACUACAACUCAACUAUAUCAGGGACUGUUUUGUAAAUUUGAAGGCUCCUUUGGGACCUUAACAUACAGAAUACAGUAGGAGGCAGAGCAAAGGAAAUCAAACCAGAUAGAUAAUGUAGGUACAUACAGUAUAAGUGGGGAAGCUAGGAGCAGAGGGAAAUAUUGUAUACUACUGAUUUGCAAAGAAACCAGUUUGCAAAUGAGUUUAAAUACAAGGUGAACUUCUACCACAGGACAUAUACUUCUUGCAAAUUGACUCUGUCCUUUCUUUUUGCUUAUAGCCCUUGACCAUUGAGGUGCUGUGGUUUAAUUGUGUGAAACUGAGUUUCAAGAUUCAAGAUACUGCUCAGAUUGUUCUGCAAUAAAUUCUUCAGAUUCAGCAGCUUCAGCAUGAGGGAGCCCAUGGACGUUGAACUAACCAGAUCUCUGCAGAUCACAUGAAAAACGGUUUCUUUCUUCUGGAUCCUUCAGACUUUUCCCAGCCUUGUUUACAGAAGUCAGUAUGAACAGUAACGGGCAUUCACAAAUGUGCUUUAGAGGAACCUUUGGGGAAGGUGUCUCAGAGUGCUUUGUCAUUUGCUGACAAACUGGUGCCAGGACCAGAACUUAAUGAAGUCUUCAGAGAAAAUUUUGUGGCAGAUCAGGGAAUCUCAAAGGUUUUCUGGCAUUCCAAAAAAAUAGGCCAGGGCAGUAGCUUGGAUUUAUUUGCAGUUUAUCUCCCAGUGAUAUCUCCAGUCUUUAAA
rnacentral:lncRNA from 1 species